GAUGAACGCUGGCGGCGUGCCUAAUACAUGCAAGUCGAGCGAACAGACGAGGAGCUUGCUCCUCUGACGUUAGCGGCGGACGGGUGAGUAACACGUGGAUAACCUACCUAUAAGACUGGGAUAACUUCGGGAAACCGGAGCUAAUACCGGAUAAUAUAUUGAACCGCAUGGUUCAAUAGUGAAAGACGGUUUUGCUGUCACUUAUAGAUGGAUCCGCGCCGCAUUAGCUAGUUGGGAAGGUAACGGCUUACCAAGGCAACGAGGCGUAACCGACCUGAGAGGGUGAUCGGCCACACUGGAGCGUAGACACGGUCCAGACUCCUACGGGAGGCAGCAGUAGGGAAUCUUCCGCAAUGGGCGAAAGCUUGACGGAGCAACGCCGCGUGAGUGAUGAAGGUCUUCGGAUCGUAAAACUCUGUUAUUAGGUAAGAACAAAUGUGUAAGUAACUAUGCACGUCUUGACGGUACCUAAUCAGAAAGCCACGGCUAACUACGUG
rnacentral:rRNA from 1 species